rnacentral:rRNA from 1 species
UACGGAGGGUGCGAGCGUUGUUCGGAAUUACUGGGCGUAAAGGGCGUGUAGGCGGUCCGCUAAGUCUGAUGUGAAAGCCCGGGGCUCACCCCCGGAAGGGCAUUGGAAACUGACGGACUCGAGUCCCGAAGAGGAGGGUGGAGUUCCUGGUGUAGCGGUGAAAUGCGUAGAUAUCAGGAGGAACACCGGUGGCGAAGGCGGCCCUCUGGACGGUGACUGACGCUGAGACGCGAAAGCGUGGGGAGCAAACAGG